rnacentral:tRNA from 1 species
GGGCCGUGGUGUAGUGGUAGGGCGGUCGACCUCCAAUCGAAAUAUUGCGGGUUUGAUUCCCGCCUUGCCCG